rnacentral:rRNA from 1 species
ACUACGGGUGGCUGCAGUGAGGAAUAUUGGUCAAUGGGCGGAAGCCUGAACCAGCCAAGUAGCGUGCGGGAUGAAGGCCCUACGGGUCGUAAACCGCUUUUGCACGGGGAUAACACCCUCCACUUGUGGAGGUCUGCAGGUACCGUGCGAAUAAGGGCCGGCUAAUUCCGUGCCAGCAGCCGCGGUAAUACGGAAGGCCCGAGCGUUAUCCGGAUUCAUUGGGCGUAAAGGGAGCGUAGGCGGGCGUUCAAGUCAGCGGUAAAAUGGCGCGGCUCAACCGCGCCCCGCAGUUGAAACUGGACGCCGUGAGUGAACAACAGGCAGGCGGAAUUCGUGGUGUAGCGGUGAAAGGCAGAGAUAUCACGAGGAACCCCGAUUGCGAAGGCAGCCUGCCGGGGUGCGACUGACGCUGAGGCUCGAAGGUGCGGGUAUCAAACAGGAUUAGAUACCCGGGUAGUC